UCUCUUUCAAGUUGGUGCUAUUUAGCUUUCCGGACAAGAAUUGUAGUGUGCUGUUGUCGGGUUAAUAUAUAUUUGUGUUUUCGUGAUAUAAAUUUAGUUUCGGAAUGUACUAUUUUAUAAUUUGGUUUGAUUGUUGGUAAUUUUAUGGUGUUCUCUAUAUAUGUUAUGGGCUUGAAAAAGAUUGUUUGGUUUGAAUAAACAAAAUGUUGCUACUUUUUUAAUACGGAUAUUAGAGGGUACAUUAAUUUUUAAGUAAAUCUCACGUAGAGUUUAUUACUAGCUAGUAUAUAUGCAUUGUGUUACGAACUUGUUUAAAAUCAGAUGCUGUUUUUGGCAUGCAAGUUGAAGCUAGUAUAUAUGUAUGUACCGCAGUUGAGAGGGUUAAUUUCCAUCUAUGUUUACUUUAAUUUAUCUUUUCUUUUAUUUGAUUAGAUCCGAAUUAAGCCGAUAAAUUUUAAAGUAUUAAAAGUUUUAUUAUUUUGCUUUCUGCAAGAUUUUUAGUUUUUAAAUUCNUGAAGUACUAAAAUUUUAUUAAUUUUCUUUUCGCAAGAUUUUUAGUUUUUAAUUCCCCAAAUUCGAAAUCAAUUUAUUACUAAAAUCAAACUUGAGGUGCUUUUCCCAUUUGGUUUUCACGAAACGUGUGGUUUAAAUGGGAAUAUAGAUUUAUGUUGCCGCACAAUUUAAUUUAUUUGAUUUAAGCGAUUUGAUUACUUUUUUAAUAUAAAAUUUAGAAUAAUUAUUUAUUUCAAUAAAUUUAUAUUUGCAUAAUUAAAAAUAUAUUUAAAAUUUUAAAGUCAAAGAGUCAUUAGUUGAUUUAAAUCAAAUAAAUUAAAAGAUUAUAUAGCAAAAUUAAAAUUUUUAAAGAUUAGAUAAUCAGAUUAAAAGAACUGACAGUCGGGGCGAGUUAUAUAAAUUUUUGACUUUUUUAUCCAAGAAAUCUGGAAAAUUAAAAGAGGUAUUUACUUCAAAAUAUGUUAAACUAUUAUUAUUAUUAUUAUUAUUAUUAUUUUACCAUAAAGCAUUUUCGAGAACCUAACAUUUGGGACCAACCGUAAAAAUAAUAAGAAAAAUUGUGCGAAAUUAACUGAAAAUUUAUUUUAUUGAAAAUCUCACCGUGAAUUUUUUUUUUUAUUGUCUAUUCUUUCUGAUUUGAGUUUGCUUUUCUUCUUCUUUUUUUUUGGGAAAAUGCAGUAUGCAUAAUUGAUCCUUGAUUUAUACUAUAGUUUCAGCUUAACAACUGGAAAAAAAAAUGCUAUAAAAAUUAAAUAUGUGGAUAAAAUAUUAAGGUAUCGCAUAAAUAUAACCGCAUAGUUCUUCAAUAACAAUUAAGCACAAUUUUAUAGCUUCGGACGAGAAAAGAUUAGAAGCAGUUUUAAAAUUUUUGGACCUUUCAAAAUAUGAAAAUGUUGCUUCUUACCACUACGUUCCUAAAGAAAGUUGGGUUAGUUGCAAUUUUUUAUACUUACGAAUUAAAUGAAUGAAAUACAAUAAAAAGAAAAUAUUAAGGAUGAAUAAAACCUUGGUGCAUCACCUGUUUGGAUGCACCAGGUGUAGGCAGUGAUUUUUCAUAAAACGAAAUCGUAAAGCGUUAAAGAAUAGGUAGUCAAAUUAAUUUAAAUUUUUAAAUAUUAGAUAAUUAAUUUCAAAUUAUAAAAGUUCAGAUUAAUUAAGUACAUUUUUAUACCCAAAAAUUAAACACAGCAACAACAACAACAACAUGACCACUGCAAAGAGGGGUCUUUCUUUCUCAUAAAGAACAGGGCAUCCCGUGCACCAAGAUACGAAUUUGGUUGAUCAAGAGAGAAAAUUUUGGCUCUCCAAUAGAUAGAACAAAAACUUGCUGCAUACAAUUGUGGAGCAAAGCCUUUUUUAAAAUAAAAAAGGUGAUAAAACCUUAAUUAGCAAGAGAUGUUUUAUGUACGAAAUUAUUUUUAUUUUUAUUUUUUAAGAGAUAGGUAGCACGCCACCUACUUCGUUUAUUUCAUUUAGAAAUAAACUUAGCUGAAAAUAUGAAUCAACUAGGAUUCGAACUUGGGUCUCGGGUACUAACCACUAAGCCCUUUGCCACUUGCUUUAGGAACGGUCGGUUAUGUACGAUAAAUUAACAAGUGCAUUUAUGUAUGGUAACUUGGUAACGGUUAUACCUUCCUACUUGUACUGUUUGGAUUCAUUAGUGAUAUUUGCAGUUUGUUAUGAAUGCAUUAAGCAGUGCAAUGUGUACGUAUGCUUCAAAAGCUAGGUGUUUCGCCAAAUAAUUAAUCGAAUGGUUUAAGCUAGGUGUGUUGCCCAAAGAUUCAAAUAAAUGGUUCAAGUUAGGGGUUUUUUAAAAAAAUUCUUGUUAAGUAUUGGAUGGAUCUUUGCUUCAAUCUGAGCAGUUUUGGAGUUAACAGCUUGUUUUGGAUACUCUCUAAUACUAUUUUUUGAAAUAGAGUUGUUACUGUUAAGUGUUAAAUAUAAAAAUGUUUAAAUACCGUUUUCUAACAAUUUAAGCUUUUAGAGUACAACGGUUAUUUCACAUGGUAUCAGAGCAGGAGGUUCUAAGUUCGAGUCACGCUAGGCUCCUAGCAUAUUAAUUUUCUUCCAUUUAAUUCAAGCCCACGUCAUGGGCCGAUUAAAAAGUUUUGAGCCCAGACGUGAGGGGGAGUGUUAAGUGUUAAAUAUAAAAAUGUUUAAACACCGUUCUCUAAGUACAACGGUUGUUUCACAGUUACUACAGUUACUCCUCUUGUUGAUGUACUGCAGUACUGGGUGAUGCUACUGGUGUCUUUGAAUGAUGAGUUUAGACCAAUAGCAGCUAAGUUAAAAAUUGAAACAGUUUCAAUCUUAAAACUUCUAAAUAAUAAUAGUAUUUAAGAUUGCUUUUAGUUUUAGCUCAGCAUCUAAAUUGUUCUCCAGCAAUCCAUACAUAUUUGCCUUUUGAUGUAGAAUCAUUGGGCAUACACUUCACAGUUUAAGAAAAGCUGCAUAAUAGAAAAGCUGCAAAAUCAUAAAUAGAAUGAGUGCAUAAAUAGAAGAGAAUUAAUUAAUAACAUUGAUGUCUAAAACAAAUUUCUCCUUCAUGAAGUUUUGAGUCAUCAUCCUACUUGCUUCAUUUCUCUCGCUGCCAUCAACAUGCAUCUUGGAUGCAUUAGGAUUUACUUAAAGUGACAACAAAAGUGAACAAAAACCAAAGCAAAAUAAAAAAGCAAAAUAAAGGAGUAGCAACAAAUAAAAACAAUAAACUCUGAAAGGCAUUAACAUAGAUUGAAGCCAAAUGCACAGCUAAACAAGUAGCGUGGGUCAGUCCAUAAAAAUCUCUAGAUGCUGCAUGUAGUCCUCUAAAUCUUGCAAUUUAUCUGAAAUAAAAAGAGAUGCAUCAUGUGCAGAAGUAUGUAACACUAAGGAUUGCAGAUGUAGGCGAUCUGAUCAUGAGCAACUACAAACUAUGGCUGGCACACAUUUAUUUAAUUAUAUUUUACUUGUUCACUAAGCGGAGAGCCAGCUCAGCCACCAUGAUCAUUGCUCUCUUUUACGAAGUGGGGCGUGUGAAAUUGCCCCACUCUACUUUUAUUUUUUUCACUUAUAUUUAUUUGUCUCAAUUAGAUCUCUAUAUUAAUAACAAUGUUAUUUUCUUUUUUGUUUUAAACCUAUGUUAAGACCAUCAAGAGUUGAGUAGCAGUUGAGAUCUAUGGCAAUGGUGACAACAAUGAAAAACAAAUGAGCUGUUGUCUCUAAUAAUAUAAUGAGAAUGCCAAUUUAAUUUUAAUUUGAAUCCGUAAAUUUAAAUUUUAAUUUGAAUCCAUAAAUUUAAUUUAAGUUUGAAAUAAAAUUUCAAUAAAAUNCAGUAAGUCUAUUGAUCUGUCGUAGAGAAAGAGUUGUUAUUUAAUUUAUGAAGAAAUAUAACUUCAAAAUAAGAAAUACGACUGGUGCAUUCAAAAGUAGAGUGUAAAUCUAAGAUUUAUCCUCAAUAUGAAAUUUGUUUAAAAUCUCAUCUUAGCAUCCUUUCAGUGUAAGGACUAGUUUACUGGAAUAGGCUUUGGCAUCCUACCUAAUUCCAUAUAACGUUUUGAUUCUGGUGGUCGCAGUAGGGUAAAUUUGAAUUUAUCAAAUCAACUUAUCAUGACACAUAACUUCUCUUUGCUUUUCCUUUUUUGUUUUUCCUUUUCUUUUUGGAUAAAAGCCUUCCCAUGCUUGUAUGCAAGAGAUUAUAACGGGAUUGCUUAUGAAUAUAAGAGAAGAUUGAUGUUUAUUUUUUGAAAUUUGUUGUUUGUCUGACGAUCCUGAUUAAAUAAUAUGAAGUACAUAUCUCUGUUUCUUACAUUUAUUUGAUCUUUAUAUACGUUUCAUUUUGGUCCUCAAACUUUCAAGUUCCGAGACUAUGAACUCUUAAAAUAUUUUGCACAUCUACCGUUAGAUGGUAAUUUAUUGCCUAAACCUAAUAUACGUGUACUACAUAUUUGUAUACUUAUUUAUCGACUCUGUACUGUUAUGUUAUUUCUACAUUGCCGCUUGUAGAUUUACAAUUUUUUUUUUUUAAUUUAGAAAUUAGAGUAUUGAAUUGAAAGUAUGAGAUGAGAGAUGGGUUGAUGAAUUUGUGGUGCACAAACAUGCCGGUAACAUUUUCCAAGGUAUCGCUGUUCAUUAUUUUGAGGAAUAAUAUAUUUUAUUAUGAGAUAAUUUAUCUUUCCGUGAAAAAAUUGAAUUUUAGGCUAAAUAUUUUAUCCAUUCUAGGAGUUUUCUUAUACUCCUCACAGUAUGAAAUAAUUGCACAAAGCUAGAGUUUCUAUUUUGCACAAACUUAAAUUAACCCCUCCUAUGAUUUACUGUAUUUUUUUAAUUCUGCAAUCGUGCGACUUAGAAGUUUUAUUUUGCUAUCCCAUAGUUUUGUCUUUGUUCUACCGUAACAAUUUGUCAUUAAAUAGAAUAGUAAUGUAAGAUUAUUGUAAAUUAUAAUAAUAAUAUGGUUUGUAAAUUAUAAUAAUUUAGUUACAUGUGGUUUAUAAGUUACACUAUUUUCGCAACUAAUUCAACUGAAGGGCCUUAUAGUGAUAAAAAAAAAAUUAAAAAUUUAAAAACAAGGGCAAUAUGUCAAAGCCAAAGUUUUUUUAACCACAUAUUGAAAAAGUGAAAAUAUGCUAAUUUAUAGGGGGCUAAUUAGAAGUUUAUUACAUCCUCUUUUAUAGCGCUAUUCCAUCCAAAGGCCUACAUUUUCACACUAAUUUUAUCAAUUUUUUCUUUGUUCAUAUUAAAAACUUAAAAGUAUUGUGUAAUUUUUUAAAUAUGUGAGUAUAAGAUUUACACUGCACUUUUGAGUGGGUAUAAUAUAUAAAAAGAAUAAAAGCUAAAUCUUAAAAUUCAUCCGUUGACUUAUCAUCCACAUUAUCAGUCAAAAUUUUUAUUUGGACAAGAGUGAUUUUUCAAUCUCUUUUUUUAUUACAUUUGUCACCUAAACAAUUUCAAUAGCAUUUGGAGGUACCAUCUGGAUUUAGGGUUGAGGGUUUGUUCGUAAACUUCGAUUGGCGAAAGUGGUAGCAACGUGCAUGUACUAAAUUGCAUAAGAGUAAAGUCGCAAAAACGUAAAGAGAAUCGGUUCACAAAUAGAAGACGAUUUUAAUUAAUAGCAUUGAUGUCUAAAAAAAAAUUUCUCCUUCAUAAAGUUUUGAGUCAUCAUCCUACUCGCUUUCUUCAUUAAUUACCAUCGCCGCCAUCAACAUGCAUCUUUGAUGCAUCAGGAUUUACCUGAAGUGAAAAGUCCUCCUUUAAGGGACCUUGCAAAAAAAAAAAAAAAAAAAAAAGAAGGUCCCCCUCCUCCUUAAACAUCUUCGUUGCGGUUUUAUUCGUUUCCUCCUUUCCAAGCACGAGAGAGGGGGAAAAAAAAAACCAACAAAGGGAGCUUGCUUCUCUGCCUCUUUAUCCGAAAAUAUUUUUAUAAAUUGUACAAUUGGGUAAAGAUUGAUCAUUGACCCAUGGGGUGUAUUUCACUAGUUACAUUGAUGUUAUUAGUAAAAUACACUUUAUUUUUAAAUAGAUGGGGUGUAUAUUCUAUACCCAAUGAAUGUAUAAGUAAGAGUUUUAAAAAAAAAACAAAAAAAAAGAGUAAAAAAAAAAAAGCAUUGGCGCGUGCGUUCCGGCCCCCACCAUAAUUAUUGGAGACACAGCACAAUAAUUGGAGCAAUCAUCUUCCACUGGUGGAGGAGCAUCCCCUUAUCAUCCUCUGCUUCUCUGUAGUAGGACGUUCGUAUUGAGAAGGAUUAGGCAGCAGCACGCGCGCGCGAUGGNAAAGCAUUGGCGCGUGCGUUCCGGCCCCCACCAUAAUUAUUGGAGACACAGCACAAUAAUUGGAGCAAUCAUCUUCCACUGGUGGAGGAGCAUCCCCUUAUCAUCCUCUGCUUCUCUGUAGUAGGACGUUCGUAUUGAGAAGGAUUAGGCAGCAGCACGCGCGAGCGAUGGCGGAGGGGAUCGCAUUCGACUUGGUCGAAGGAGUGCUGGGCAAGCUGGGCUCCGCUCUCUGGGACGAAAUCGGGCUGCUGCGGAGCUUCAAGGACGACGCGGACGACCUCAGAAGCAACUUCUCGGCGAUCCAGGCGGUGCUUCUCGACGCCGAGGAGCGAAGCAGCCCUGGGAAGGAGACCCACGCUCUGCGCGACUGGCUGCGCAAACUGAAGGACGCCGCCUACGACGCCGACGGCCUGCUGGACGAGAUCCGGACGCAAGCGGCCCUCCGGCAACAACAGCAUCCGGAGGUGCAGAAUCAAAACCAGCCAGCUGAAAAGGUACGUGAAUUCCUGUCCCACGCUAAUCCGAUGCGUCUGAAGUUUAAGGUCAAGAUGGCACACAGGAUGAAAGAGCUCAGAGAGAAGAUCGGUAAGAUCGCGAAACAGAGGCAUGAUUUCGGUCUUGCCGAAGCUGACCCUCUUCGACAGGCUGAGUUCAAGCGCCCUGAGACAUUCUCGGUUGUCGACGAAAAGACAAUAGUCGGGAGAGAUGGUGAUAAAGAGGAAAUUGUGAAGCUUCUCCUAGAGACUAACAGCGAUCACGACGUGUCGGUCAUUCCGAUCGUGGGAUUGGGGGGUUUGGGGAAGACGACGCUUGCUCAGCUGGCCUACAACGACGAGCGGGUUACGGACGAGUUGGUUAUGGGCCAGCAGCGAUUUGAUCUACGGGUGUGGGUCUGCGUGUCUACCGAUUUCCACAUGAAGAAGAUUGCAAAGCCGGUGAUAUCUGCAGCUGGAGAAAAUUGUGCUCUUGAUAACUCGGAUGCCGUCGCCAGUUGCCUUGUCAGGAUCUUUAGCCAGAAGAGAUUCUUGCUGGUGUUGGAUGAUGUGUGGAACGAAGAUAAAGGGAAGUGGAAGGAAUUGAAGGUUGUAUUUAAGGACGGCAGGCAGGGAAGUAAAAUCUUAGUAACCACACGAAGCGAAAAGGUCGCCGCGAUAAUGAAAACAGUCGAACCACACCGUGUGAAAGGCUUAUCAGAUGAUGAUUGUUGGACAUUGUUCAAAAGGCUGGCAUUCGAUGAGGGGGAAGAGAACGACUAUCCGAGUUUGGUCGCAAUCGGAAAGCAGAUAGUAAAGAAGUGCGGCGGCGUGCCUUUAGCAGCGAAUGCUUUAGGAAGUAUGAUGUAUUCAAAGAACAGGACAGAGGAUGCAUGGUCCGCUACUAGGGAUAACGAAAUUUGGAGUCUGCAAGAAGAGAAAACUAUUUUACCAUCAUUAAAGUUGAGCUACAUUCAGAUGCCGUCGGCUUUGAAGCAGUGCUUUGCUUACUGCUCCAUAUUCCCAAAAGACUACGAGAUUGACAAGGAUGACUUGAUCCGGCAAUGGAUUGCUUUAGGCUUCAUUUCAUCGCAUGAAACAUGGACUUCGAUGGAAGAUAUUGGGAAUGAGUACUUUAACAAUCUAUUAUGGAUGUCUUUCCUUCAGGACAAAGAAUAUAGAAAGGUUACCACCUGCCGGAUGCAUGAUUUAGUGCACGACCUCGCACAAUCUGUAGCAAGAGAAGAAGUUGCUGUUAUAGUUGGAGAAGAGUCAACAAGGAUCCCGGAAAGUUGCCGCUAUGUCUUGAUAUACAGUCGUUUCACGCCACAGGUUUCAAUUACCAUAAUGCGGAGGUUGCGAGCUCUUCAAUUUAGGGAAUCUGGCUCACUUAUUAUGGCUUUUUAUAGCGAGGCAAAAUGCUUACGCCUGUUGGAUUUACAUGGUUCCGAAAUUUCUAUGCUGCCAAGCUCAAUCGGUAAGUUGAAGCUCUUAAGAUACCUCAACCUUUCGUCAACCAAUGUACAAGAACUGCCUGAAUCAAUUACCAGCCUCUGCAACUUGCAAUCCUUGAAUCUUUCAGGCUGCCGUNAUUUACAUGGUUCCGAAAUUUCUAUGCUGCCAAGCUCAAUCGGUAAGUUGAAGCUCUUAAGAUACCUCAACCUUUCGUCAACCAAUGUACAAGAACUGCCUGAAUCAAUUACCAGCCUCUGCAACUUGCAAUCCUUGAAUCUUUCAGGCUGCCGUGAGAUCCGUACAUUACCCAAAUUUCUAGGAAGGCUUACGAAUUUGCGGAUUUUAGAUUUAAGCGAGUGCAGUUCUCUGACAAUACUUGACUCCAUUAGCAACCUUCAGAAUUUGUACACACUAGAUUUGAGUUGGUGCCAAAAGGUGAUAUCACUUGAACCUAUAUGUCACCUCAAAAACCUGCAUUACCUAGACCUAUCAAAUCUAGAAUCUUUGGUGGCAUUACCUGAAUCCAUUGGGAGCCUUCAAAAUUUGCGUAGUCUCAACCUUUCUAGCUGCUCUUCUCUAGAAUGGUUACCCUCAUCGUCAAGUGAUCUUCAGCAUUUAGAGAAACUCGACAUUAGUGGUUGUGGAAAAUUAUGUGAGCUGCCUAAAAUGAUCCAAAAGCUGACCAAACUUAGAGUCUUGUUAAACAACAAUUGCUCGGAAUUGAAGGGCAUGCCCCGAGGGAUCGGCAAGUUAGUUAGCUUGCAGGAAUUGUCCGUUUUUGUCGUCGGCAAGCAAGACCGCGUCGAACAUUGUGCCAGUAUCUGUGAGCUCGAGCACCUUAAGCUUGUUGGCGAGCUGGAGAUCAAGGGUCUUGAAAAUGUGACGAGUCCGGUUGAUGCCAAGGCUGCAAAUUUGAUAGAGAAGAAGCUGCGGUCUUUGAAGUUGGAAUGGAACGUUUUAAGUGCGGAAGAAGGCAUUGAUAGUACUGUACUACCGGCGGAAGAGAUCGAAACCGUGCUAGAAAAUCUUCAACCACAUCAAAAGCUAGAGAAUUUGGAAAUAGGAGGCUAUGGAGGCGGGAAGUUUUCUAGCUGGAUGAUGAACAGGAUUGGCUCGUGCCUGCCAAAUCUCGUUGGAAUCGAACUAGCGGAUAUGCCCGGAUGCAGCUCACUCCCGCAGCUGGGGCAACUUCCUUUUCUUGAACAACUGACUAUACAAAACAUGCCCGCGGUAACAAAUUUCAGCGUACAUAAGUUCCCUGCGCUGAAGACACUUGAGUUGUCCUCCAUGCCGGUGCUGCGAGAAUGGGUGACUGUGUUGACGAUGGAUGAUGAAGAAGGCAGGCGAGAGCGAGUUCCCAUUUUUCCGUGUCUCACUUAUUUGGGUCUAUAUGAAUGUCCUCAGUUGAGGCCGGAGCCUUGCCUCCCGCCAUCGGUUGAGCAUAUGGGCAUCUACAGAACAAGCAAGGAGAAUCUAUCGUUGAUACUCGAACGCGCGAUGCCAUUUGGAGGUGGUGAUGCCGCCGUUUCACCCCAACCGCCACCAGAUAAGGGGCUGCCGGGUCUAGGAAUAGUAGGAUGUCGGCAGCUAACUUGUUUGCCCGAGAGCUUGCGAAGUCUCACGUCUCUCCAGUCGCUGGGAAUAUAUGAUUGUGAAGAUCUCGAGAGAAUUGAAGAUUGGCUCGGGGAGCUCACCGAGCUGCGGUCCUUGUACAUCGAUGGGUGCAGCAGUCUCCAUUACUUGCCUGCGCACAAGAUGACCGCACUUCAGGAGUUAUGUAUUGGGAUUUGCCCGCUGUUGUUCGAUGCGGACGGACGAUUUGUCGACACUAGUGUCGAUCACAUAAAAAAUGUCGAAGUUGAUGGGAGGUAAUUACUUUGGAACUCUAACUACUCUUUAAUUAAUGAGCUAGCACCUUAAUAUUCUAUUGUAGCUAGCAUAAACAUCUGUUUUUUUUUUUUUUNAGCAGUUGAGAUCUAUGGCAAUGGUGACAACAAUGAAAAACAAAUGAGCUGUUGUCUCUAAUAAUAUAAUGAGAAUGCCAAUUUAAUUUUAAUUUAAAAUUAUAUAUUUAAUUUUUAAAUUUUAACUUAUAUUUUAAUUAAAAAAAGUUGAAAAAAUAAAUUUAAUCCGAAUAAAUAUAAUUCCGUACGGAUUCAACUUUUAAUCCGGCCUACUAGGCCGGAUUGAAAAAAGAGGUGAUUGGAGGAUUCUCAUUCCACUCGGGAAUCGGAAUCGGAAUGGGACUCCCACGUACCAAACACUCACAAACGGAUUUACUUAUUCCGAUUCCGAUUUCAAGGUAAAAAAGAAGCAAACCAAACACGCCCAAUAUAUUUAUCUUAUAUCAGCACAAACUUUUUACAAAAAAAUUUCAUUUGGUCGCUAAAAUUUAUAAUAUUUUAAUUUUUACUGUGUCAUAGUUAGAAACUUUUGUGUAAUUUUCAAAAAGUUGAGAGGGUCCAUGACCAUUGUCGGCCUCUCAAUAGCUCUUCCCCUGUUCUGGAUUCAGCAAAGCAUCCUGAGAGGGGAUUGAUACGAGUUUGCUAGAUUGUUAAAUAUAAAUAUAUAAAAAUAUCAUUCUUUACGAGAUUAAUUACUUUUUGAAAAAAAAAAUGAUUAUUUCGUAUUAUUUAACAUCGUAUCAAAGUAGAAAAUUCUGAGUUCGAGUCACGUCAGACUUCUAGCCUAAUUGAUUUUUUCUCUCAGUUAAUUUAAGUCCACAUCGAGCUCAAACGUGAGAAAAAAUAUUAAAUAUAAAAAUAUUAUUAUCUAUCACUUUAAAUUUUUUGAGAAAACGAUUGUUUCGUAUUGUUUAACAUAGAUUGGAGCCAAAUAUAUAGCUAAACAAGUGGCGUGGGUCAAUCCAUAAAAAUCUCUAUAGAUGAUGCUGUAGGUAAGUUCUCUAAAACUUGCAAUUUAUCUGAAACAAAAAGAGAUGAUGUAUCACGUUCAGAAGUAUGUAACAGUGAGGAUUGCAGCAGGCUGUAGGCGAUUUGGUUAUGAGCAACUACAAUUAAACUAUGGCUGGCAUACAUUUAUUUAAUUACAUUUUACAUGUGCACUUAUAGAUAGCAUGCUGUUGUAACUUCCACAUAUUUAUCUUUUUCCUGGAGUGUAGAAUUAUGCUGAGACUUGUGAUCUUUGCACUAUUUUAUAAAGUGCAGGUUUACGUCUGUUUCCAUUUCAAAAAAAUUAUAUAUUUCUUUUUGGUUAAAUUACAUAAAGUGACCUGCACUAUACUGGCGUAUGAAAUUACCCCCCUCCACCCAUCCCUCUGUCAACUUUUAUUUUCUCAUUUAUAUUUAUUUGUCUUAUUUAGACGGUAGACCCCUGUAUAUGUUAAUAACAAGGUUAUUUUACUGAUCGUUUCUAACGCAAGUAGCAAAAAAUUUAGUGGUUGAUAAUCAAGAUUCUAAAUUUGAAUCCUAGUUGAUUCAUAUCUCUAGCUAAGUUUAUUUCUAAAUGAAAUAAACGAAACAGUAGAAUAGCAGUUGAGAUCUAUGGCAAUGGUGACAGCGACGAAAAACAAAUAAGCUCUUGUCUCUAAUAAUAUAAUGAGAAUGUCAACAGAUACAAAAGAAAUCUAAGUUUUUUUAUUCUAGUUUAUGACCGAUUUUGAAAAAAGAUUCCAAUGGCAUCUCUAGUUUAUAAUUUUAUAUACAUUUGAGGUAAUUAGGUGUACUAAAAAUUUCUAUAUUUUUGGCUGACGGGAUCUAAUUUUUUUUAAAAAAUGAUAGUAUAAAGAGGUGUAAAUUAACUAAGAAAAUAAUUUUUUAUGGCAAUUAAGAAAAUCAAUGCUAAUUAGAAAAAGGCGGUUUUGAACUGUGGUGCAGUGCUGCAUAGAGAUGUCAACGGGUCGGAUUCGAGGCGGAUUUUUAAAAACCCGAACCUGAACCCGACUCCAAAUCCGAGACCCGAAUCCGAACCCGAAUCCAACGGAUUUUAAAAAUUCAUAUCCAAACCUGAACCCGACCAAAAAUCCGAAACCCGAACCCGAAUCCGAACCCGAACCCGAAAAUUUGAACCCAAAAUAAUAAAUUUUUUUUUCAAUAUUUCAAAAUAUAUUAUAUUAAAUCUAAAUUUUUAAAAUACAAAUUCAAAUAUAACAUCAAAUUUAUAUAUAUAUAUUAUAUAUAAUACAAAAUAAAUUCGGGUUCGGGUCGGAUUUGGGUUCGGAUUCGGGUUAGGUACAAUCAAAAUCCAUAUCCGAAUCCAUAUCCGUCGGAUUUCUAUUUUUUAUAUCCAUAUCCAUCGGAUAUAUCCGUUUCAUUCGGAUUCGGAUUCGGAUAAAAUUUCGGAUAUUCAUACCCAUUGACAUCCCUAGUGCUGCAGUGGUCCAACUCUCCAUACUUUUUUUUUUCUCUUUUUUGGGCAAUCAAAAUUUAUACAUAUCAAUUCUUCACAUAUAAUAGUAUCUUAGAAUAUUAUCGUGGGGUGAAAAUCAUUUUACUCAAUCUGAUCCCACUCUGAAGCCGAAGAUUGUCGGAUUUGGAGUGAAAUUUUACUAUCCAUUACGGAUUCAGAUUCAAAUCUGAAAUUUGAAUUUUUUUUUUGAGUUCAAAUUAAAGAUUCACUAUUUCUUUUUAAAUUCGAAUUCUAAAUUAUUGGAAACCAAAACUGAUUUUGACCGCUUUUUUAAUUUCUGAAGUAAUACCAUUUAAGCAUCUUUCAGAAAUCUCAAGCAUUCAUUGCGUUUUCUUCAGUUGGAUGAGAAAAUAAUAAUAAUAAUAAUAAUAAUAAUAAUAAGGGCGGCUCUCCUUUUCUGCCGCUUCAUUUUUUAAAAAUGGACACAGAAACGACAAGAUCCAAAGAGCAAAUUUGAAACUGAUAAUAUUUUUUAUAUUCUGCACAAUAGGAUAAGGACGAUUGAGGGACUAGCAUAUGCAAAAGAUCAAAGAUUCCCGGCGUAAUUAUCGAAGCAACAGCACAAUAAUUAAUUGGAGCGAUCACCUACUACCACUGCAGAGCAUCCCCCCUUAUUCUCUGCCUCCCUGCAGUAGGACGGUUGUAUUGAGAAGAAGCACAUAGCUGCUGUCGUAGGUAGCAGCACGCGCGAUGGCGGAGGGGAUUGCAUUCGAUCUGGUCAAAGGAGUGCUCGGCAAACUGGGCUCAACUCUCUGGGACGAAAUCGGACUGCUGCGGAGCUUCAAGAACGACGCGGACGAUCUCAGAAGCAACUUCUCGGCGAUCCAGGCGGUGCUUCUCGACGCCGAGGAGCGGAGCAGCGCUGGGAAGGAGAGCCACGCUCUGCGCGACUGGCUGCGCAAACUGAAGGACGCCGCCUACGACGCCGACGACCUGCUGGACGAGAUCCGGACGCAAGCGGCCCUCCGGCAACAGCAGUAUCCCGAGGUGCUGAAUCAACACCAGCCAGCUGGAAAGGUACGUGAAUUUCUGUCCCGGGCUAAUCCGAUGCAUCUGAAGUUUAAGCGCAAGAUGGCACACAGGAUGAAAGAGCUCAGAGAAAAGAUCGGUAAGAUCGCGAAACAGAGGCAUGAUUUUGGUCUUGCCGAAGCUGGCCCUCUUCGACAGGCUGAAUUCAAGCGCCCUGAGACAUUCUCGAUCGUCGACGAAAAGACAAUAGUCGGGAGAGAUGAUGAUAAAGAGAAAAUUGUGAAGCUUCUCCUUGAGACCAGCAGCGAUCACGACGUGUCGAUCAUUCCGAUCGUGGGAUUGGGGGGUUUGGGGAAGACGACACUCGCUCAGCUGGCCUUCAACGACGGGCAGGUUACAGGCCAGCAGCGCUUCGAUUUACGGGCGUGGGUCUGCGUGUCUACCGAUUUCGACAUGAAGAUGAUUGCAAAGCCGGUGAUAUCUGCAGCUGGAGAGAAUUGUGCUCUUGAUAACUCGGAUGCCGUCGCCAGUUGCCUUGUCAGUAUCUUCAGCCAGAAGAGAUUUUUGCUGGUGCUGGAUGAUGUAUGGAAUGAAGAUCAGGAAAGGUGGGAGAAAUUGAAGGUUUUAUUUAAGGACGGUAAGCAAGGAAGUAAAAUCUUAGUGACCACACGGAGCGAAAAGGUUGCCGAGAUAAUGAAAACAGUCGAGCCGCACCGUGUGAAAGGCUUAUCAGAUGAUGAUUGUUGGACAUUGUUCAAAAGGCGGGCAUUCAAGGAAGGGGAAGAGAAUGACUAUCCGAGCUUGGUCGAAAUCGGAAAGCAGAUAGUAAAGAAGUGUGGUGGCUUGCCUUUAGCAGCAAAUGCUUUAGGAAGUAUGAUGCGCUUUAAGAGCAGAACGGAGGAUGCAUGGUCCGCUAUUAGAGAUAGCGAAAUAUGGAGAUUGGAAAAAGAGGAAACUAUUUUACCAUCAUUGAAAUUGAGCUACAUUCAGAUGCCGUCGGCUUUGAAGCAGUGCUUCGCUUACUGCUCCAUAUUCCCCAAAGACUAUGAGAUUGACAAGGAUGACUUGAUCCGGCAAUGGAUUGCUUUAGGCUUCAUUUCAUCGCAUGAAACAUGGACUUCGAUGGAAGAUAUUGGGAAUGAGUACCUUAACGAUCUAUUAUGGAUGUCUUUUCUUCAAGAUGUGUGGGAAUAUUAUAGAAAGGGUACCACCUGCCGUAUGCAUGAUUUAGUGCACGACCUCGCACAAUCUGUAGCAAGAGAAGAAGUUGCUGUUAUAGGUGCAGAAGAGUCAACGAGGAUCCCGGAAAGUUGCCGCUAUGUCUCGAUAUACAGUCGUUUCACGCCACAGCUGGUUUCAAGUACCGUAAUGCAGAGGUUGCGAGCUCUUCAAUUUAGGGAAUCUGGUUCACCUACUAUGAAUUUUUAUAGCGAGGCAAAAUGGUUACGCCUGUUGGAUUUACAUGAUUCCAAAAUUUCUAUGUUGCCAAGCUCAAUCAGUAAGUUGAAGCUCCUAAGAUACCUCAACCUUUCGGAGAACAGUAUACAAGAAUUGCCUGAAUCAAUUACCAGCCUCUGCAACUUGCAAACCUUGAAUCUUUCAGGCUGCCAAAAGAUCCGUACAUUACCCAAAUUUCUAGGAAGGCUUACGAAUUUGCGGAAUUUAGAUUUAAGCGACUGCAGUUCUCUGACAAUACCUGACUCCAUUAGCAACCUUCAGAAUUUGUACGCACUAAAUUUGAGUUCGUGCGAAAAUGUGAUAUCACUUGAACCUAUAUGUCACCUCAAAAACCUUCAUUACCUAAACCUAUCAGAUCUAAUGUUUAUGGAGACUUUACCAAAAUCCAUUGAGAGCCUUCAAAACUUGCGUACUCUGAAUCUUUCUAACUGCAUUUCUCUGCUAUCAUUACCCUCAUCAUUAUGUGAUCUCAAAAACCUGCAUGACUUAAACCUAUCACGUCUAAAAUCUUUGGUGACAUUACCUGAAUCCAUUGGAAGCCUUCAAAACUUGCGUAUUCUGAACGUUUCUGAAUGCUCUUCUCUAGAAUCAUUACCCUUAUCGUCAAGUGAUCUUCAGCAUUUAGAGAAACUCGACAUCAGGGGUUGUAAAAAAUUAUGUGAGCUGCCCAAAAUGAUCCAAAAGCUGACCAAACUUAGGGUCUUGUUAAACAACGAGUGCUCAGAAUUGAAGGGCAUGCCCCGAGGGAUCAGCAAGUUAGUUAGCUUGCAGGAAUUGUCUGUUUUUGUGGUCGGCAAGCAAGACCGCGUCGAACAUUGUGCCAGCAUCUCUGAGCUCGAGCACCUUAAGCUUGUCGGCGAGCUGGAGAUCAAGGGUCUUGAAAAUGUGACGAGUCCGGUUGACGCCAAGGCUGCAAAUUUGAUAGAGAAGAACCUGCGGUCUUUGAAGUUGAAAUGGAACGUUUUAAGUGCGGAAGAAGGCAUGGACAGUACUGUACUACCGGCGGAAGAGAUCGAAACCGUGCUAGAAAAUCUUCAACCACAUCAGAAGCUAGAGGAAUUGGAAAUAGAAGGCUACGGAGGCGGGAAGUUUCCUAGCUGGAUGAUGAAUAGGAUUGGCUCGUGCCUCCCAAAUCUCGUUAAAAUCAAACUUGAGAAUAUGCCCGGGUGCAGCUCACUCCCGCCGCUGGGGCAACUCCCUUUUCUUAAAGCACUAACUAUACGAAAUAUGCCCGCGGUAACAAAUUUGGGCGUAGAUAAGUUCCCUGCGCUGAUGAGACUUAACUUGUCCUCCAUGCCGGUGCUGCGAGAAUGGGUGACUGUGUUGACGGUGGAUGACGAAGAAGGCAGGCGAGAGCGAGUUCCCAUUUUUCCGUGUCUCACUCAAUUGUACCUUAAAGAAUGCCCUAAAUUGAGGCCGGAGCCUUGCCUCCCGCCAUCGGUUUUGCAUAUGGGCAUCUCUAGAACAAGCAGCGAGAACCUAUCGUUGAUUUUCGAACGCGCGAUGCCACUUGGUGAUGGUGAUGGUGAUGGUGAUGGUGAUGGUGAUGCCGCCGUUUCACCCCAACCGCCACCGAAUAAGGGGCUGCGGAGUCUACAAAUAGGAGGAUGUCAGCAGCUAACUUGUUUGCCCGAGAGCUUGCGGAGUCUCACGUCUCUCCAGCGGCUGAUAAUAUCUGAUUGUGAAGAUCUUGAGAGAAUUGAAGAUUGGUUUGGGGAGCUCUCCGACCUGCGGUCCUUGAUCAUCCAGGGGUGCAGCAGUCUCCGUUACUUGCCUGCCCACAAGAUGACCGCACUUAAGAGGUUACAUAUUGAUGGUUACCCGCUGUUGUUCGAUGCAGAUGGAAGGUAAUUAAUUUGCAACUCUGGCUACUCUUUAUUUAGCUGGCUAGCACCUUAAUAUUCUAUCGUCGCUAGCAUAUAAACCUCUCUUCUUCUUCUUCCUUUUUUUUUUUUCUAAAUAUUCGGAUGGAAAACUUUCAAUUAGCCCCACCGCACGUGAUUCGGAGCAUUUUCAUUUGCUAUGAAAUAUUUCAUUUUGCUAUUUUAAUUUAUAGUUGUGUUUUUAUUUUCUUGCAAAAAUCUUCUACAAAAAAGAAAAAAAAAAAUUAAAGUGCUAAAAUAUAUGAAUUAUAAGACAGUCAAGUAAUUUAUUUUACAAACCACAUAGGGACUAUGUGAAAUAAAUAAAUAAAUAAAUAAAUAAAUAAAUAAAUAUAUAUAUAUUAUAGUAUUUUAUGAUUUAUAAAUUUUAGCACUUUAAAUAGUUUUACUUUAAAAUCUUGUGGUUAUUCCUUUUCUUUGUAUCAUCGUAAGAAUUUGCCGUCAAGUAAAUGUAUUAAAGUGCUAAAAUUUAUAAAUCAUGGGAUAGUAAAGUGAUACAUUUUAUGAAACAAAAGGUAGCCGCCUGUAUCUAUAUAUAUUUUUUCACAUAGCACUCUAUGGUUUAUAAACUAUAUUCCUUUACUACUCUAUAAUUCAAAAUUUCUAGCACUUCAAUAUUCUUUGGUAGUAGGUCCUUACGGUAAAAUAAAGACGCAAUAAUAAAGUAGCAANGGUUUUCUGGAAAAAAUUUCAAGUGGUCUCUUGCAUGUACAUAGACUAAUUAAUGAAAUUUUAACCUUUUCUUAAUUUGUAGCGAUUUGAGAUGCUAAAAAAUUUCUACUUGAACGAUAUAUAGUAUUUACAAAGUAACUAUUUUCGGUCAUAUUGUUGAUAUACUAUUCGAGUCCUAGGAUAUUUUUUUUUACAAAUUGAAAUCAGGUAUGUUAUAUAUCAUACGUUAUUAGAAAGUCUAAGCAAAAUAUACAACACAUAUAUACUGCACGAGUGUCGAAUAAAAAAGUAACCUUUUUGUGUUGUUGUGGUGUAGAAAAUACCCGUACAAGGAACAAGCGAGCAGCUCGUCACAUGUGGAAGAGAGCUCACCGAAGGAGGAGGAGGAGAAGAAGAUUGGUUAGCGAGGAGAGCAUAAGUAUAUGUAUCUCUUAUUUGGAGUUAAAAGAUAUUAGAUAUUAGAUAAAUUAUACUGCACUUUGAAAGCGGCCAAUUGGGCUUUACGAAUUUCGAUUUUAAUUUGAUUUUGAUAUAAGAAAUUUUCUUUGAAAGAUUUGUUAGAUCCUUUUAGAAUUUAGUCUCUUCCGUUAAACAAAGUACAGAAUGUUUCAUAAAAUAAAAAAAAAUUUUAUCAAAUUUUAAAAUAUUUUAUCAAAAAACAUUAAGUAUCCUUUCGAAUUCUCUAAGGAACAUAAUAAACACUGCGGAAAGUUAGAGAGUAGAAUUAAAUUUUUAAAGUUCAGUUAUUUAUCUCAAAGCGUAGUGUAGCUCACGUAAGAAUCAUUAUCUUUUAGCUUAUUUGGUGAUCAGUAUUCCCCUUUGAGAAGAGUUUUUUUUUCCCCUUUGUUUUGCCAAAAAUAAACAAAUUUUAUAUAUCUACAUGCAAUGGUGAGAGUUUUUAUUCAUGGACUUGGGGCCUUCUCUUUCAGGUUUGUGCUAUUUAGCUUUCCGGACAAGAAUUGUAGUGUGCUGUUGUCGGAUUAAUAUAUAUUUGUCUUUUCGUGAUAUAAAUUGAGUUUCUGAAUGUACUAUUUUAUAAUUUGGUUUGAUUGUUGGUAAUUUUAUGGUGUUCUAUGUAUAUGUUAUGGGCUUGAAAAAGGUUGUUUGGUUUGAAUAAACAAAAUGUUGCUACUUUUUUUAAUAC
rnacentral:lncRNA from 1 species